rnacentral:rRNA from 1 species
GACGAACGCUGGCGGCGUGCUUAACACAUGCAAGUCGAGCGGAGCGGCGAACGGGUGAGUACCGCGUGAGUAACUGCCCCCCUCUCUGGGCUAACAGUUGGAAACGGCUGCUAAUACCGGAUAGUGGGGGAUGACUCGCGUCCUAUCAGCUUGUUGGUGGGGUAUUGGCCUACCAAGGCGACGACGGGUAGCCGGCCUGAGAGGGCGACCGGCCACAGUGGGUGCAGGUACGGCCCAAACUCCUACGGGGGGCAGGAGGGGGGAAUAUUGCACAAUGGGGGGAACCCUGAUGCAGCAACGCCGCGUGCGGGAGGACGGCCUUCGGGGUGUAAACCGCUUUCAGCCAUGACGCGGUAGUUGCAGAAGAAGCACCGGCUAACUACGUGCCAGCAGCCGCGGUAAUAC